CUUAAGUCGGAUGGUGUGUGGUUGUCCCAUGGUGGUCUUGUGUGACUUCUCUGUUUCUGAUACUUCUACGUCAUUUCUUCUGCUGCACUUUGCCCUAUCUCCUUCAUCUUAAGGUCUUAAGCCUAGUGUAAAACUCUGCUUUGCUGAGGUUUGGCUGUGGUAAGCACAGUAAUAGCAGCCUCAUAGCGUGAAGUCUCCGGUGAGUGUCGGGGCAUCACAAAAGGGAAGGUCGCCAGAAAUUAUGGUGAGUCGAGAGAAUACACAGCCAGAUUUCCAUCUUCCGUGCCUAUUUUGCUCUCCAUUAUUUGAUCAGAAUGCCUUUUAUGACCUGAAAAAAAAACAGUUAUGGA